rnacentral:tRNA from 1 species
UGCAGCUCAGUGGGAGAGUGCUUGUCUAGCACACAAAAAGCCCAGGGUUCAAUCUCCAGCACUGCAA